UACAUGUGGGGCAAGCGUUGUUCGGAAUUACUGGGCAUAAAGGGUGCGUAGGCGGCUUGUUAAGUCAGGGGUGAAAGUUUUCGGCCCAACCGGAAAAUUGCCUUUGAUACUGGCGAGCUGGAGUGCGUGAGGGGUGACCGGAACGAGUGGUGUAGCGGUGAAAUGCGUAGAUAUCAGGAGGAACACCUGUGGUGUAGACAGCUUACUGGACCACUUCUGACGCUGAGACACGAAAGCGUGGGUAGCAAACAGG
rnacentral:rRNA from 1 species